rnacentral:snRNA from 1 species
GUGCCCCUGUGGGCACAUAUACUAAAAUUGGAACAAUACAGAGAAGAUUAGCAUGGUCCCUUCACAAGGAUGACAUGCAAAUUCGUGAAGCAUUCCAUAUUAAA